AUGGACGUGGGAGUCCCUACCCAGUUCCUGGGGCUCCUGCUGCUCUGGUUUCCAAACUCAGGUGCCAGAUGUGAUAUCCAGAUGACCCAGUCUCUAUCCUCCCUGUCUGCAUCUGUAGGAGACAGAGUCACCAUCACUUGCCGGGCAAGUCAGGGCAUUAACAAUGAGUUAGCCUGGUAUCAGCAGAAACCAGGGAAAGCCCCUAUGCUCCUGCUCUAUUCUGGAUCCAGUUUGCAUACAGGGGUCCCAUCUCGGUUCAGCGGCAGUGGAUCUGGGACAGAUUUCACUCUCGCCAUCAGCAGCCUGCAGCCUGAAGAUGUUGCAACUUAUUACUGUCUACAGGAUUAUACUACCCCAUCCACAGUGUUACAAGCCAUAACAAAAACCCCCAGGGAAGCAGAUAAUGUGAGUCUGCACUGCCCUAGCUACUCCUCCUGGUGCCUCCAUCUGCUGAGAACAUUUCCCAAAUAGCAUCCACACUUUGAAGGUCAUUGGAAAGUUUUUGUACAAGGUACACUGAAGCCUCUUCUUU